GAAACUGGGAAUAAUACCGGAUAACGCACAUAUGCUGAAAUGCUUAUGCGUAAAAUGGAUUCGUCUGCCCAAGGAUGGGUCUGCGGCCUAUCAGGUAGUAGUGGGUGUAAUGUACCUACUAGCCUACAACGGGUACGGGGUUGUGAGAGCAAGAGCCCGAAGAUGGAUUCUGAGACAUGAAUCCAGGCCCUACGGGGCGCAGCAGGCGCGAAAACUUUACAAUGCGGGAAACCGUGAUAAGGGGACACCGAGUGCUAGCAUCAUAUGCUGGCUGUCCAGGUGUGUAAAAUACACCUGUUAGCAAGGGCCGGGCAAGACCGGUGCCAGCCGCCGCGGUAACACCGGCGGCCCGAGUGGUGAUCGUGAUUAUUGGGUCUAAAGGGUCCGUAGCCGGUUUGGUCAGUCCUCCGGGAAAUCUGAUAGCUCAACUAUUAGGCUUUCGGGGGAUACUGCCAGACUUGGAACCGGGAGAGGUAAGAGGUACUACAGGGGUAGGAGUGAAAUCUUGUAAUCCCUGUGGGACCACCUGUGGCGAAGGCGUCUUACCAGAACGGGUUCGACGGUGAGGGACGAAAGCUGGGGGCACGAACCGGAUUAGAUACCCGGGUAGUCCCAGCCGUAAACGAUGCUCGCUAGGUGUCAGGCAUGGCGCGACCGUGUCUGGUGCCGCAGGGAAGCCGUGAAGCGAGCCACCUGGGAAGUACGGCCGCAAGGCUGAAA
rnacentral:rRNA from 1 species